UACGGAGGAUCCGAGCGUUAUCCGGAUUUAUUGGGUUUAAAGGGAGCGUAGGUGGAUUGUUAAGUCAGUUGUGAAAGUUUGCGGCUCAACCGUAAAAUUGCAGUUGAAACUGGCAGUCUUGAGUACAGUAGAGGUGGGCGGAAUUCGUGGUGUAGCGGUGAAAUGCUUAGAUAUCACGAAGAACUCCGAUUGCGAAGGCAGCUCACUAGACUGCAACUGACACUGAUGCUCGAAAGUGUGGGUAUCAAACAGG
rnacentral:rRNA from 2 species